GGGUCUGUAGCUCAGUUGGUAGAGCACUCGACUUUUAAUCGAGGUGUCGCGCGUUCAAGCCGCGCCAGUCCCACCA
rnacentral:tRNA from 1 species